rnacentral:lncRNA from 1 species
AAAGAUGGAGGAUCUUAAGCAGCCUGUGAGCAGAUGCACAGAUAUGUUGUCAAUUACACUUCGACCUUCACCUUCCUGUUCAUUUCCGGAUCAGUUGUGAGGUGAGGCUGCUUCCGCUGAUCUUAUAAGAGAGUGGGGUAUCUCUUUCCACAUGGUACGUGUGUUUACAUCUCACAGAAGUUCACACUAGUUCCUUCCCAGAUUUUGUUCGUUUGUUCUUGCAUUCUUCUGAUGUACUCACAACAAUAUAACAUGUCUGUACCUUUCAUUUCUGUGUUGCUUCUUGCUUGCUUGAAUUCACUUUGCACAGUAGCAAACACGUGAAGGACAGUUGAGCGAUAAUUGCUUUCAAUGUUUUUUUAACAUUAGCUGUGAGUACAUGUAUACUGAAAUUAGUCGCCGCAGUAUCAAAUUGCCUUCCUGUGAUACUAGGAUUUAUCACUGCAUAUACUCCCUCCAUUUACUUAUACAAGGCCACUAUAGAAAAUACACUUUGCAUCUAUACAAGGCCACUAACAGUAAUCGAGACAAAAGUUAAUGAUAUUUUCUCGAACUAGCAACCUAUUUAAAACAUGCAUGCAUGCAAUCAUAAAUGAUAGUACAAUCAGCUUCCUACCCUUUCCUUGCAUGUAUUUGGUGUAUUAAUGAUCCAGUAUACGAAGAGAAAAGCUGAUUUACAAAGAAGACAUUAAAUUUUACCUUGGUACCUAUAAUAUGAGUUUGUGGCCUUGUAUAUAAAAAUGGAGGGAGUAUCUAGGAUCCAAGGGCGUUGCAAAUUCGCAAAAUUGAUGCAAAUUGGGCGUGAGCGUGCUUAGUUAGCUAAUACAAGUAGAAUAUUCUAGCUAAAUGAAGUGCCUCGUCCAUCAUGCUCGAACCUUAUAGCUAAGCACUACAUGCUUCUGUUCGCCGAAACACCUGCACUUUGAAACUCUGUAUAUGAUGCGAGGACAAAUUCUUAAUUGUCGUUGCAGCCUGUAGUCCCAUUUUCUUAUUUAGAAAUGUACAGAUUUUCGCUCGAUGCACUUUACUGAUCAAUGCCUUCUUCUCCUGAUGCAGCUUAUUACCAACUGAGAGUUACCUCGCAUCAAGGCCAGUGAGGAGGAAAAAUGCAUCUCUCCAGUCAAAACUUAUAUGCUGAUAACUACCGGAUCCGCAGAACGGCAGAAGACGCCUUCUAACCGUUCAUAACGCCCCGAUGUCUUUCAUAAUGCCCCG